rnacentral:lncRNA from 1 species
AACCUGCUUGUCUUGGCUUUCCAGCAGGCAGAUGUCCAGGGACAUGCGGCCGGAAGAACCGGAUUUCAGCCCGGCUGAGUCACCACAGCAGCCGCCUUGUGAUGGAUGUAGCCCGCAGGCGGAUCCAGCCGCCUCGAAACAGGUACACUUUGUUGCUUCAUUGCUUAUCAAAUAAAGCAACUCUUCUAUUGUCUAUUAAUGUUAACUUCCAAGAUGGUGAGUCAAGUGCUAGCUAGUCAACUCU